GCCGAACGCUGGCGGCGUGCUUAACACAUGCAAGUCGAACGGUAAGGCUCCAGCUUGCUGGGGUACACGAGUGGCGAACGGGUGAGUAACACGUGGGUGACCUGCCCUGCACUUCGGGAUAAGCCUGGGAAACUGGGUCUAAUACCGGAUAGGACCGCACCGUGAGGGUGUGGUGGAAAGUUUUUUCGGUGUGGGAUGGGCCCGCGGCCUAUCAGCUUGUUGGUGGGGUAAUGGCCUACCAAGGCGGCGACGGGUAGCCGGCCUGAGAGGGUGGACGGCCACAUUGGGACUGAGACACGGCCCAGACUCCUACGGGAGGCAGCAGUGGGGAAUAUUGCACAAUGGGCGGAAGCCUGAUGCAGCGACGCCGCGUGGGGGAUGACGGCCUUCGGGUUGUAAACUCCUUUCACCAUCGACGAAGGGUUUCUGACGGUAGAUGGAGAAGAAGCACCGGCUAACUACGUGCCAGCAGCCGCGGUAAUACGUAGGGUGCGAGCGUUGUCCGGAAUUACUGGGCGUAAAGAGCUCGUAGGUGGUUUGUCGCGUCGUCUGUGAAAUUCCGGGGCUUAACUCCGGGCGUGCAGGCGAUACGGGCAUAACUUGAGUACUGUAGGGGAGACUGGAAUUCCUGGUGUAGCGGUGAAAUGCGCAGAUAUCAGGAGGAACACCGGUGGCGAAGGCGGGUCUCUGGGCAGUAACUGACGCUGAGGAGCGGAAGCAUGGGGAGCGAACAGGAUUAGAUACCCUGGUAGUCCAUGCCGUAAACGGUGGGCGCUAGGUGUGGGUUUCCUUCCACGGGAUCCGUGCCGUAGCUAACGCAUUAAGCGCCCCGCCUGGGGAGUACGGCCGCAAGGCUAAAACUCAAAGGAAUUGACGGGGGCCCGCACAAGCGGCGGAGCAUGUGGAUUAAUUCGAUGCAACGCGAAGAACCUUACCUGGGCUUGACAUAUACAGGAUCGCGCCAGAGAUGGUGUUUCCCUUGUGGCUUGUAUACAGGUGGUGCAUGGUUGUCGUCAGCUCGUGUCGUGAGAUGUUGGGUUAAGUCCCGCAACGAGCGCAACCCUUGUCUUAUGUUGCCAGCACGUUGUGGUGGGGACUCGUAAGAAACUGCCGGGGUUAACUCGGAGGAAGGUGGGGAUGACGUCAAAUCAUCAUGCCCCUUAUGCCCAGGGCUUCACACAUGCUACAAUGGUCGGUACAGUGGGUUGCCAGUCCGUGAGGGCGAGCUAAUCCCGCAAAGCCGGUCUCAGUUCGGAUCGGGGUCUGCAACUCGACCCCGUGAAGUCGGAGUCGCUAGUAAUCGCAGAUCAGCAACGCUGCGGUGAAUACGUUCCCGGGGCCU
rnacentral:rRNA from 1 species